AUACGUAUAUUACGAGCUUUAUGUUUUUGAAACAUACACGUUCAUCUUCCAAAAUUAAAAUUUUGCGUCAGUCUUUGUACCCAUCCAUCAAUAAUAAUAAUAAGACGAGAAAGAAAAAUAAAAUUACUUCAACAUAAUCAUUUUUUUCCAUUUUUUGCAAUUAUUUCCGUGUGUACGAGGUUAGGUACGUGUUAUAACUUCUAGCUGUACGACUCUACCCUCAACAAUUACUAUUAUGUCCCCCACCUAUUUUCCCCUACCCCAGCCAUCUAACCCCUUUUUUUCAAUUGUGUUUUUUUUUUUUGGUUUUGUUUCUUUGUUUUUUCAUUAGAGUUUUUUUAAUCAAUUUCAUUUUCUUAUCAAAUUUAUUUCUUUUUUUAUCAGUUUUAUUUUUUUUUGGAUAAAAAGUUUGUGGCUCAAAACUUUCCAAGAAAAUUAUCUUUUGUAAAUACUCCAACCAUGUUUCCUACUGAAUUACAUAAAAAUAUUAAAUUUAAGAAAACACUUAUUUUGCAGUUUAAGCACUUUGAUCCAAUAAUCUAAACGUUUUAUAUUGUAAACCUCAUUAAAAAAUUUAAUAUUGUAGAAAAUGGGUAUAAACUAUUUAUUUAUUAACAGUUAAUCAAUAUCAAUUUACAUCAAGGUAAAUGGGUAUAAACUAGGCAUUAUUAAGUUAUAAGAAACAAACUAAAUUAGAUAUGAACUGUGUCCAAUCAAUAGCCUGAAGGUGCCCGAUCUAAUAUAACUGAUGUUAUAUUCAAAAUAAACUCAAACUUAUACUUUAGAAAAGAUAAUUUAGAAUAUAUGAAAAGAUAAUUUCGGUAACCGAUGAGAAAUAAUUGACAAUAUUUAUCAUUAGAAAUGAAAAAACAAUAAUUUAGAAGCCAAUAUCAAAGCAAUCAAUCUCAAGAUUAUGGCUCCGUUUGGUAAUAUUAAAAAUUAAGGUUUUUUUAAGUUUGUUAUUAAAAAGGUUAAGAUUUUUUAUUUUUUUGUUUUUUUGGUUUUACUUUAAUUAAAACUAAAUAAAAAAACAAAAAAAAAAUAAAAAAAUUAAUUCUGAUUGAAUUUUUUUUACUUAUUUUAAGUAAAAAAAAAAUUUUUUAAAUUAAAAAAAAUUAGUGUCAAACGAAACCUAUGUCAGGUACGGCCCAUACUUAUUAGGUGGCUGAGGCCAAAAAAAACAGUUGGAACAUAGACAUUUACUUGAAGGUUAAAUACGAUGGAAGUAUCAGUUUGGUGAAAACCACAAACACAGACUGAUGAGAACGUUGACUACUUUCCACCGACACUCUGAUAUUAUUAGAAACGUGGAUGAUGAGCGCGCAUGGCCUAAGCGGGUGAUUCGUAGAGCUAAACCAUUCAUAGAUUACUUCUUAUGGGGCAUAUUUGAUUUGGAGAUUAGAAUAUUUGAUUGAAUUACAAAUUUUAUGGGUUACUAAUAUAGUAUUUAUUGAUUUUCUUUGAGGUUAUAUAUGUAAUUCGAUGGAUUUGUAAUCCAUCAAAUUGACCGAAUUUGUAAUACCACUCACCCCCAUUAUUACAAAUUCAAGGGUAUGAAUUAGGCACAAAAUUACUAAAAUACCCAUAAAAUAUCUAAACUUACUAAAAUACAAUACUAUGAUUUAUUCAAAUGAUUUUAUUUUUAAAUACGGAUUUUUUUAACAAUAAUCAUAUAUAUAUAUAUAUAUAUAUAAAUAAAAUCAUGCAUUUUUGUUCAAUCUUAUCACCAUUUCAAACAUUAUAAAAUUUUUACUUCUCAAUCUUAAUUUCAAAAUUUUAAAAAAAUAUAUAAAAAUCUUAUUUGAAAAAAUAUUUUAAUAGAGUGGUCAGACAAGUAAAAUAAAUAAUUUUUUUAAAAAUACACUAAGUAUAAUAAAAAAAUAGAUUAAUUUUAAUUUCGAAGAUUUUUUGUCUUUACAAUUAUUUUUCUUUGAAGAGAAAAGUGUGAAAAAAAAAAUAUCAUAGAAACAGCCUCACAUUGUACAUAAAAUUAAAAUUUAUGUAUAACAACAUUAUAAACCAUUUGUAUUAUAAUUUUAUGUACAUAUCACAUAAUUAGUACUUGCGUGAGUAUAAUAUUUUACAAAACGGAGUUCAACUUACAAUAUUACUAUAAAAAGUAUAAUUUUACUUAAAAUAAGUUUUUUUAUAUUUAAAAUGAAGUUAUUUUAAAAUAAACGUGGACCCUGCCAAAUAUUGAUUCACGUUGUAGUAAGGGAAAUAAAUUCCGAAAGGAAAAUGCUCUGUGGUACAUCCCCAAAUGAACCACACUUGCACUCACUAGGAGAGAGAAAGACAAAAAGAGAGUGUGUGUGGAGCCCACUCAAAGUGUGUGAACUCACUCCCAUUGUGCAUUUCUUCUCUUGAUGAAGUGCAAGUAGGAGUUUGAAUUUGAGUAAUGUACCCAUAGCCACUACCUAUAUGAAAACAUCAUUGCAGUGAGAGGCUAACGGCAGUGUAUGGUUGUGCCCAUGAAAUUCUUACUUCCCUGUGUUGUACU
rnacentral:lncRNA from 1 species